rnacentral:rRNA from 1 species
GAUGAACGCUGGCGGCGUGCCUAAUACAUGCAAGUCGAGCGAACAGACGAGGAGCUUGCUCCUCUGACGUUAGCGGCGGACGGGUGAGUAACACGUCGAUAACCUACCUAUAAGACUGGGAUAACUUCGGGAAACCGGAGCUAAUACCGGAUAAUAUAUUGAACCGCAUGGUUCAAUAGUGAAAGACGGUUUUGCUGUCACUUAUAGAUGGAUCCGCGCCGCAUUAGCUAGUUGGUAAGGUAACGGCUUACCAAGGCAACGAUGCGUAGCCGACCUGAGAGGGUGAUCGGCCACACUGGAACUGAGACACGGUCCAGACUCCUACGGGAGGCAGCAGUAGGGAAUCUUCUGCAAUGGGCGAAAGCUUGACGGAGCAACGCCGCGUGAGUGAUGAAGGUCUUCGGAUCGUAAAACUCUGUUAUUAGGGAAGAACAAAUGUGUAAGUAACUAUGCACGUCUUGACGGUACCUAAUCAGAAAGCCACGGCUAACUACGUG